rnacentral:rRNA from 1 species
GAUGAACGCUGGCGGCGUGCCUAAUACAUGCCAGUCGAGCGAACAGAUGAGGAGCUUGCUCCUCUGACGUUAGCGGCGGACGGGUGAGUAACACGUGGAUAACCUACCUAUAAGACUGGGAUAACUUCGGGAAACCGGAGCUAAUACCGGAUAAUAUAUUGAACCGCAUGGUUCAAUAGUGAAAGACGGUUUUGCUGUCACUUAUAGAUGGAUCCGCGCCGCAUUAGCUAGUUGGUAAGGUAACGGCUUACCAAGGCAACGAUGCGUAGCCGACCUGAGAGGGUGAUCGGCCACACUGGAACUGAGACACGGUCCAGACUCCUACGGGAGGCAGCAGUAGGGAAUCUUCCGCAAUGGGCGAAAGCCUGACGGAGCAACGCCGCGUGAGUGAUGAAGGUCUUCGGAUCGUAAAACUCUGUUAUUAGGGAAGAACAAGUGUGUAAGUAACUAUGCACGUCUUGACGGUACCUAAUCAGAAAGCCACGGCUAACUACGUG